UCACGACUAUAAAUACCGCCUUUAUUCUCGUUUUCCGUUUCCUUUUCGAGCGUCUGGAGAGAUCAAACAUCAAAUUGCUCUGCUUCUUCGUAGCCUGGUACAACCGUUUUUGGUCUCCUCGCGUGAGGCAUCACAUACAAUCUAUUCUCCUCUUCAGGAAAUGUUGUUUCAGAAGCUAUUUCUCAGAUCCGUUUGGUUGGCUUUAAUAGGCGGGAGAAUAAACUGGAAAAGGCUAGAGUUCUAACGCAACUGUUCUUAUGUGCCUUUGAAUUACUAGGUCAUCUUGUUUCUAGCAUCUUCUUAUGAACCGAACGAAGCAUUACGAUGUAGAAUCGGUUUAUUGCAGAAUUCGUUUUCUAUCUGAACAUAAGAUCAUGAGCGUAGAACUGAUCUGGCCUGGCAUUCAUCUCACCUAUCUCUCUAUGUGUGCGCGUGUGUAUGUGUGCGGUAUUAUAAUACCACGUUUGUCUAAUUAUUUUUAAUUUGUCAUUUUCCGCUUUACCUGUCUGGCCGAUAAUUUGUUAUAUUGAGAUAUUGACAAGGAUGCUUGCCUUUUGUGGUUGUAUGCGUAAUCUUUAAAUACGCAUUUUGUAGCAUUUGCAUAAUAUGAUAUGUAACGAUUUUAUAACCAAAGAGAGUGGGAAAUCGUAGGCCAAGAAGUUUCGUAGCUUCUUUUGUUCUUUUGAUAGAAACCGUACGGCAUUUAAGCUCUCCAAGUAUUCUGGAGAUGGCCACUAGUUUUUUCGUUAUGUUUUGUUUUGGUUUCGUUUUUUUAUACCAUUGAGAUCUAUCGUCAAGAUUAUCUGUUUUUGUAUUUACGCAUCCAUAACUUUUUUGAACCCAAAACUUGGCAACUGACGUUCAAGUUACUUAAUCAUUACUUUGAAAGACUUCUGUUACAACGUUCUUUUUAAUCUAUUGCUGUAAAUUGUUUUGAGUGUUAACGAGAUCAUUACGAUUUAUCUGUACCCUCACUUCACUUUUCUUCUAACUUUUUCUGCUUGUUAGUGAUUUUGGUUUGGUUUCUAAAUAUUAGAUCAUUUUGUUUAUUGAAUAUAAAUGUAUAAGUGUAGAACAUUGGUGAUUGAUCACAUAGUUUGAAACUCUAGAGCUUUGGUAGCUAGUAGUUCAUAUUUAACGAGUAAGGUUAAUUAUCUGAGAACGUACUUCCGAGACAUGCCUGAAGCUUUUGUUUGUUGAAACGAAAUUGAACUUGUUUAUAAGAUAUUAAUUGUGGAUAAUAGUCGUUGAUAAGAUAUUAAUUGUGGUUAGCUGCUUGCAUACCGAAACAGAAGUUAUGAGUGCCAACUAACUACGAAACUUACAGUACCCUUCAUCACAAAGGCUUCGAAGAUGAACUUGUGUAACUAAUUCUACUAGAAUCAUGUGUAACUAAAUCUAUUAAAAUCAGGCUUUAAGUGGCGCUCCUAAUUUGUCGCAGUCCUUAGAAGCAUGAUUUUAGUAGAUUUAGUUACACAUGAUUCUAGUAGAAUUAGUUACACAAGUUCAUCUUCGAAGCCUUUGUGAUGUAGGGUACUGUAAGCUUAGUAGUUAGUUGGCACUCAUUUCUUCUGUUCUGGGAUGCAAGCAACUAAUCAUUUGAGCGAUUUGUUUCUAAUCUUACCUCCUGAAGCAUGGAAGCAAUCUUGAAUAAGCAAUAGUUAAACACUAUUUAUUCUCUCUUCCAGUAUGGUUUGUGUUUGUAUUUCAGUUACUUUUAAUUGCUUUGGCAAAAGGGUUUGAAUCUUAAGACACGUAUUUUAGUUUUGCCCACAUUUUUUUUUUCUUUUUUGAUGUUCUAUUUUUGCGAAUUUCUUUUGAUGGUUACCUGUGUUUAACAAACAACAUUCAACAUUCGCUUGGUGUUGUGUGGGUAAAGUCAUCACAACCAGUAUGUUCCAAUUAGAAUGCCUUCUUGGUGUGCUGACAAUAAUAUAUUAUUUUUAUAUUUAGCUGGAGUUUUGGGAUUAGAAUUAAGACUGCAUUGUUUCACCGUUUCUUGCAUGCAUUAAUCUAGAGAUUAGUAGCUUUGUAAGAAAUUUCAAUGGUGCCUCUAUCAUAUGUAGGUAAAGCCAAAGCUCUUGUAAAUAUGAGAAUUGCAAAAAAUUUGGGCAUAUGCAUUGUUUUUGGUGCUUACUCUUGUAUUGUAUUAUUUGUGAAAGGUGUUAUAUAUUUUUUUAGGUUUUUUUUUAUUUGUUUGGAUUUUUUAUUCAGUUCUCUUUAUAGUUUAUUCUUAGUGAAAUCAUUACAAUAUAUUAAAAAGAUUCGAAGUUAACAUUAUGAUUGUGAACUUAUAGUUGGAUUGAAAUUCAGAGCAAUAGGAGUUUCAACUUGCUUCCUUAAUUAGGUAUCAUCCAUACUCAGAUAAUGAAUUCACCUCAAGGUUUCGCUGGACCAUACCCGCGUCUUCAUAAAAAUAUUCCACAAACUUCUAGAAGAGGCUACUCGAACUCUUCCACUGAUAAAUCUCACCAUGAACAAGAGUAAAAUAACCACCAUUUUUCAUGUCUUGAUGAAUCAAUCCCCUUACAAUUUUCUUUCCAUGGUAAAGUAAAACAUUUUGGUGCAUUAUCAUUUGAUGGUUUGUUCGAACAAAAAGUUGGUGUUGGUUGGAUAAAGAGGUCUAGUAUUGAUUUUAGUGACAUUCUUGCAAAGUCGUGCCCAUCACCCACCAGGAGGUAGUAAAACCGUAAGAAUAGCUAACAAUUAAAUUUUCAUACCCUGAUUCCUGAAUAAUUAUUUGAAAGUUUAAAUAGGAUACUGGUGCAUGGGGGACCAUGGUACUAGUUUCUUUUUAUGGCCAUGAAAAGUAGCAAUGGUGAGAACUGAGCAAAUUAAUUUUUCAAGAUGUUUCUAUUACCGAUGAUCUCAAGGACUUGGAUAAAAUAGUUUGUCUUCUUUUUAGAGGUAUUUUAGUGAUAAUCUGAAUCCACAAUUAAUUCAUAUCUUCGAGUGAACCAGUAUUCUACUUUUAUAUAAAUUGAUUUUUUCCAUAAUAAUCUGUGAUUUUGGCUUGCUCUCGAUGGCCACAUCAAACCAUUAAAUCGUUUUUUCUUUUGAAAUGUGCCAAAAUUUAUUUAUCAUUUUCCAAGAUUUACUCUUUUGGUUGAGGAUUUUACCCUUUUACCAGCCAUCUUGUUUUAUAUUUUAAUGUUCAGGUGUUAUGAGUGACUUUUUUUUUUUUUUUUUUAUAUCCUUGUGUAGCCUUUGACUUUUCCACUGAAAGUGAUCUUAAUGGUUAGGAAACCUGGAGCAAGUAUUUUGAGAACCCUACUUCCGAUCCAUCUACUUUCCCCUAUUGAGAAUAGUUACACAAUAUUCUGAGCUAAGCAGUUUCAAUGGCAUCCAACUCGUGCAUUAGGGGAAAAAAAAAAACAAAAAACAAAAGAAAAACAAAAGAAAAACAAAAAACAAAAGAAAAACAAAAAACAAAAAACAAAAGAAAAACAAAAAACAAAAAACAAAAGAAAAACAAAAAACAAAAAACAAAAACAAAAACAAAAUAAAAAACAAAGCAAAAUUAUUGAAUUAUCUCUGUCUAUCUGAAUUCAAUAUAUAUAGCUAGUAGCGAAGGAGGUGUGAAAUUUCUUUUACCUUUCAAGAAAGACCACUUGUGUAUGAAAGUGAUCACAAUUGAGAUUUGUGAAUCCAUUCUAUUGUAUAUGUACAAAUAUGGAUUAUAGCAUAUUUUCCAGUCAAGGUCAUUCCUUUUGAUGUGGAAUAGGAAUAUAAGAAUGUGAGGACCAUUGAGAGGCAUUGAACUAGAGUAUCACACGCCAAUUUAGUGAUGUGGGUUGGAUAAUAUUUCGUUGAUGUAGCCCACACAUUUAUCUGUGGUGUUGGAUUAAGCUUGCGAAGAAAGUUCUUUGGGGCUUUCAAUUGAAAAAAUAGGUACGGCAUCCCACACCUAAGAUGAACCGCUCCUCUUGCAUUGAUUGCAUUCACUAUUAUUUAUGUUGAAGCCAUUUUUUUCAUCCUUAUAGUCUCAUUGAUGUUAUUCUACUCUUGAAUCAUGAUAGUGUUGAUAUCUAAUGUGUAUUCUCUUUUAGUUAAAAAUCACUUUUGAUCCCUGAAUUUUCAUGAGAGGAACACUUCCGUUCUUGAAUUUUAAUUUGUAACGAUCUAUUCUUUGCACUUUCAAGUUUGUAACAAUUUCUAAGGAUUUAGUGUCCAUCAUAAAACAAUAUUAAGAUUUAUGGUCAAAUUUGUACCUAAAUCAUAGUCUAAGUAGGUACAUAAUUAAAAUUGAUAAUUAUGUGUGGUGACAUUUUCUAUAGGGACUAAAUUUCUACAAACUUGGAAGUAGAUAGAUUAAAUUGUUGUAAUUUGGAAAGUAAGAGAUUAAAUUGACACAAAUUUAAUUUGAAAGUAUAUAGACUAAAUUGUUACAAGUUAAAAUUCAAGAACUAAAUUAUUACAAAUUUGAAUGUACAAAAACCUAAUUGAUUUUUAAUCUUCUUGUUCAACUGGUUCUUUUUUUUUUUUUAUUAUUAUUGUUAUUUAUUAAUUUUAUUUUAUAGACAGGGAACAAACAUUUCAUUUGUUAAUUGAAAUGACUACAAAAAGAGUCCUAUCUAGAGGACUUACAAAAAAAACUCUUCCAUUGUGAAAUGGGGGAAGACAUAGUGGAAGUAGGAAAGGCAAGUGUGAUUUUUGCCAAAGGGUAUUUUUUUCCUUCCCAUUUCUUGAACAGAUGUCCCGUGAAAGUAGGAAAGAAAAGUGUGAUUUUUGUAGGGGAAGACAGUUAACCAACCAAAGGAUGCAAAUCAGCAUGCUCCAAGAGUUGGCAGCCAGGGUCAAUUUUUGAUAAAGUGUCUGUGUUUCGGCAUUCCUGCAACAAAGAGAACAGUAAUUUGGGGAGAGAUAGAGGCAAGGGAGCCUCCCAAGGCGAUUUUGAUUGAUGCAAGAAUGGUUAAUCUCCUGUAUAAAUAAUUUAAUUUUCCUAGAACACCUCUUUUCUAAUAUGAAAAUAAAUAAUUUAUGGAAAAUAUAUAUAUGGAAACAUAUGUUAUCACCUCUAGUGCAAGAAGAAGAAUGCAACGUUUUAGGGGACUUUGAAAAGAAAAUCCCAUUUUUUUCAACGUUCCAAAACUGUUAAUCAGCAGUCUUUGAGGAGGUAAACUAAGAAAGCAAGUUGGAGAUUAACACACUCUUCAAUUUCGGCUUGUCUAUGAUUCCCUCCUGAAAAAAGGUUCCAGGAUCAUUCCAAGAGGACCCGCCAAGUUCCUGCAGUUACCUCAAUUUCAUCAUCUGCGAAUAUCAACAACUCAGUGAGCAUAAUUUCAUCCAGUUCCACUGUAUUGCCGACAAUGGGAACAUCACAUUUGUAACUUCUAUCUAUGGUACUGCUUGAACAAUUUGCUGUAGCUGAGCAGGAGAGAUUCGAGAGACAUCCCUAGAUCAAGGGUCCAAGAUUCAUUCUCUCCAUGAUUGUUGUUUGGCAUUGGUUCUUUCAGCAUGGCAGAGCGUGGAUCAUGCUGUUUGGCCUGCACUCAGGAAAAUCCAACGAGAACACGCAAAUAUCUGAUAAAAUAGGCAAGCACUCAUGUUUCUUAUAUAAUUACUUCAUGGAAAAACUUCACAAGUUAAAAGAUUACAAUAUAUAACUAGGAACAAAGAAGAACAACAGACUCAACACAUUCGACUGAGUUGAGAAUUAUAGCCUUCUCAUGAUUAUUAACAUUUGGAGGGUUCUUCUAGUUUAAUUUUGUUGGGGUCUUCUCAACCCUCUGCCCUUAGGCUGUUCUUUUCUUUUGUUUCCUAAUAUAUGUCUCUCUUUCCUAUCAGAGAGAGAGAGAGAGAGAGAGAGAGAAUAAACUCCUAUGGUCCCCAACGGUUUGUUCCCAUUGACUUUACCUUUCUACCCCUCCUCUCGUAAGUGUAAAUAAUUGGAGGCUUCAUAAUACUUGAGCUUGAAACUCAUCCUGUCUUCAAGGUGAAGCAAAGGAAAUUGUCCAAAUUCAUUAAACUGAAAACAUGCCCGGGUAGGUCAAAAUUAUGACUAGGUUAAAUUGGGGAACCCUCUGGUCUACAGUAGGUCAAUAUUGUGAUUAUUUUAAAGUGGGGAAUCUACUGGUCUAUGUGAGAAACAAAAUUUCAUUAACGAGAUGGAACUAUUAGGCAAAAGUUAAAGGAGUUGGAGAGGAGUUUUCUUCAAUUGGCACGAAUCACUUGGAACCUAUACCAUUUUGAAUUAUAGACAGAAAAUUUUCAAUAUAUAAUUGAGAAGUGAACAAUACAAACUUUUCAAGUGAGUGAAAAAAGAACUUAAUGGAACACAAUAAGAACCAUCAAAGAGAUCCAAAUAGAGAGGGGAAAAUCCAUACAACAACAGAACACUCAAAAGAAAAACUUUCCAAGGAAGAGCCUGAAUAACCAAACCCAGCACAAGAAACUAAGCUAAAAGACAACUCUUGAGAACCAUAAAAGCCCUGAAACAGAAGGCCCAAAACAGGGGGAAAUGAAAGAAGCUCCAACCAAAUAGAAAAACCACCAAGUAAAAGAGCAGAACCGAGACCAAAAACACCAAGAGAGAACCACUGAACCCAAACCUGUAGAGAACAAACGAACAUAAAAAUCGAUUGCCUUGUGAAUUCAUGCAAGGAACUGCUCGCAUCUCAAGACCACAAGCUGCACUCAAAGCCUAUAUUAUUUAUAAAAUGAAUUGAGUGAUGCAUUAGUUAGAGGUGCAAAAAUUCAAUUCUACCGAUUGACCUGCCUCUCUUCUAAUAAAAAAAAGUUUCCCCUUCUCUUCUAACUACAAUGACCAUAAAAUUGCUCCUAACAGCAUUAAGCCACAUUUCUUUCCAAUAUAAAAAAUGUCUCUUCCAAAGCUUCAUAAAUAGGAUGUCAAAGAUGUGACUUUUAUGGAAGGAACCAGGUUUACUGCUUUCAAACUCCUCUAGGCUGUCCUUGUCAAUUAGCAUAAAACAUCUAACAUAUCCUUAAAGAGCAAUUCACACCUUGACUUCUUUGUAUUAAGGCUCCUUUUAGAUUAUGGAAGAAAGAUUAAUGAGAUUUCGACGCAGAUUAAGGAAUACAGAAGCCCUUGUUGUCAAAAUGGCUGUCUGGGAAAUCUCCACAAAAAUAAACUGCCUUUCUCUUGGUCCACUGAAGGUCUACAACUAUAUACCAUUAUAUCCAUAGGAUUCUGGAGACGCUAAAUUCAAAUGAUAGUUGUAAUAUCGAAUGGACUCUUCUGCAAUUUUAAAGCCCAUACAAAAAGGGCUGUCAAACAGUAUUUGCAACAAUUCUUGGAAAAAUAAAGCUAAACAGAGGCAUUGAACGGUGAGAGACCUAAUUUCUUCUUGGCUCCUAAGAAGCACAAACACGGAUAUGAGACAGACAAGACAUGAUACGGACACGGUGACACCAUUUUUUAAAAACCUAGGAUAGGACAAGGCAAAGACAUGUUUAUUAGAAAAAUAUAUACCAUCUUCAUAGUAAAAAAAUCAUAGUAAAUGCAUUGAUGCAUUUAAUAUGCUUAAAAGACUUAGCUUGAUGUAUUCUACGCUCAAAAGUUAUUAUUAUUGUCAUAUAUGUGUCUUUUUGGUCUAUUUAACGAGUGUUCUAUGUAUGUCCAAUGCAUUUACUGCACUAAUAAGUGUUCGAUAAGCGUCCAAGUGUCGGACACAGACACGGACACGGACAUGCUAGCCAAAGUAAAGUGUUCGUGCUUCUUAGCUUGGCAGCUACGCUUUAGAAAUUUUCCUCAUCCUCCCUUGUCAAACUGCCCCAUAAAAGAAACUACACACUGUAGAUAGUCUCUCAGUAAAAAAGAAUCACUAAACAACAAUUUCUUAGUAGAAAAGGAUCACUAAACAACAAUUUCGGUUACAAGGCCAGCAAACCGCAAAUGACUCAGAAAAAUAUCUCCACAUCUAACGGACUAUCUCAGAUUGUCGAUAUCCACCAUGGUUCAUAAGUGCUAAAUCUCUCAUACAUGACUUGCAAAAUAAAAGAUUUGACCUUCAAAAUUUCAAACUUCUCAGAAUUAAGAGAAUUAAGUGUGCCAUGAGGGAUCUGCAUAGGAGAAGAGUUAAAGAAAAGCCCCUUAAAGAUGGGAUUGGAUGGAUCAAAUACCAAAAAUAGAAAUCACUUAACAAAGAAAGUAUAGCUAAAACGUCAAGUUUUUUUUGUAUAGCCAACAGAAGAAGGUGAGAUUCAAAACUAAUGAAAAUAGAUGAAAUGACAAAAGCCACCGAGCACACAUAAUGGCAAAGGCAAGCAACAAGGAGCUGUAUAUAACAUUAAAACUGGUGAGUUGUAAUUUGUAAUGCUUUGCCGAAGGGUAAUUUCUUUUCGAUGGAAAUAAAAAAUGGUUAUUUAACAAGGGGUGAUAUGGAAAAGCCAGUAAAGAGACGUGAUCUACCCUAAAUCUUGCUCUUCCUUAGAUAUGUUUUUAAUAAUACCUUUACUAUCCUAAACCAUUAUGGAUUGACCUAGCGGUGAUAUCUCAAUUAAAAAGUCGAGAUUCUUUGAUUUGAGCCGUAGGAUAAGACAAGAAAAUGUCAACUUUUUAGGAUAAGUUGGAUCUCUAAUCAUUUGCUUAACACAUGAAUUCCUAAAUUUUUUAGCCAAAAGGACGGUUCUAUUAGGAGUCUAAAAGCGAAAUAUGGAUAUAAACAAGUCUCAAUUCUUGAUUACUUUAAAAACGGAAAAGUACCUCAGAAAAGCAUGAUUUGACUUGAUUCAGGUUGUAAAUUCCUUUCCAUCACCAAAUAUCAAAUGGACGAUAAUUUUGUUUUGAUUUUAUAUUUGAUGAGAAUUAGGUUUUUAGAGCCGUAAUUCUUUGUCAAUUACAAGCUUGAUCAUAGUUUUACUGUACAUGGCACAAAUUUUCGAUAGAGGUUAAAAGUUCAAACUCUAUCUUAACGUGUUGGAACUCAAGUUAUAUUUCUUAAUAAAAAACUAUUUUAAAUUACAAAACUGCUCAUAAAAUUUAUAAAUAUAACAAAAUAGCAUAGUCUAAGUUUAUAGUUGAUAACGAUCUAUCGUGAUCAAAGAAUUGUGGUAUAUAUUUUGAUUUAUAUGUACUUUCUUAUUUAAAAGAUUUGAAUUCAUAUCGUAUAAGACAUUACCAUAGUCUUCUUAAAACAAAAAAUAUCUAUUUUUAUGGUUCCUCAUGUUUUGCUUAUUGAGACUCUUGAGAGUCAUUAUUAUUAUUAUUAUUUCUUUUUUUAACAUUGUUGACAUUUCGUGGCCACAAAUAAUUGCCUUUCCAUCCAUUUUCAUAAAUAUUUUUUGGGGUUACAUAAGUUUUAGUUCAUAUGGAUUGUGUUGUGUUUAUUUGGUCAUUUUAACUUCUCUAAAGCAUUUAAUUGGUUUCUGAUUAAUUGUGUUUUAAGAGGUAGCAGUUUAAUCUAGAAUUUUUUUAAAAAUUAUUUAAAAAGUUAUUUGGAAGUAUCAUAUCACCAUAUUUUAUUAUUAAUUUCAAUAUUUAUUUGUAUAGCUUUAAUGAUUUCAUGAUUUCAUGAAAUCAUGGGUAAGAUUUCAUGAAUUUUUUUAGUUUGUGAAAUAAUAAGAUCAAAGAAUUGUCUAAACUUUUGAACUGAUACUUUUAUAUCUUAUUCGUCGGAUUGGUUUUUUAUUUUCUACCAUUGUAACAGUCUUUUUCACUUGUUUUUUUUUUUCUUUGUUAAAUAUAAAGUUGUUUACAAUUUUCUAAUUUGAAAAUUGUUGUUAAAUUCAUGAUAAGUCUUUAAAAUAAAAUAAAAACAUAAUUUUGGUUAUCCAUCUAUUUAAUACGUUCUUUAUAUUUUUUUGGAUGAAGGUUGUGCUAAUUUCAAUGUUGUGUUUAACUAACUUUGGUUUUUUAUGCUUCAUUAAUUUAUAUAUAUCGUUCUAUCCUUUUUCAUUUGUUUAUAUUUUUAUUUCUCUGCAUAUCUCCUUUUUCUUCUAAUUUACCUCUUCCUAAAAUAUUUUUUUCCAACUUAUCUUUCCCGUUAUCCAAUGAAAUGACAUAUCAAUUGUUGUUGUGUUAAGUUUAUUUCGAUUUAUUCUUUCUAGUUAUUUUUUUAUUUUAUAAGUUUCUAAAAGAUUUCUCCAUUUAAAUUUUAUUCCUCUCAAAUAUACUAUCCUUUUCUCCACCCUUUUAACAAAAAUAAUUCUAUCACUUUUGGUUUUCUUUACUAGAUACCCACUUUUGAAAGAUGCUCAAAGUUAAAUUGUAAAAACUACAUCUCUAUUUUAUAGUCAUUUUGAUUCUCUUUUUCUAAAAGAGAGUUUUGAAAAGUAAACAAGGUAGUUAACAAAAUAUAGCAAAAUUGUUUUAUCACUGUUAUUUUUUUAUAUUUGUAAAUAAAACGGUAUAUAAUAUAUAAAUAUAUAGUAAAAGAUUUGAAUACAUUUUCAGGAUUUUGUUAUUUAAAAUAAAAAUAAAGUGUAGUUUUAAAUUCGUUUUUCUUAACUAUGGAUAUAAGAAAGAUGGAAAUCAAUUAUAUUUUCUAAAACUAAAAAUAUUAUCGAUUUAAAGAAUUUUUAGAAAACAGGGUUUGGAGAUUCUAAAUUUUUACUUUGUUUUUUAAAAUUUGAUUAAAUCCAAAUUUCUUCUAUUAUAAAAUUCGAGCUCGAAAAUAUUCAUGUUUUUCAGCGUAUAGAAACAUGCAAAAUAAAUAAAUAAAUAAAAAUGAUAGAACGAAGAUUUAGGAUCAGUGCUUAACGAAAAGAAAAUAAUUCAUGAUAACAUUACUGCAUUUCAUGUAUUGGUAUUAAAACACGAAUGUUUUCUAAGAGCUAGAUAGUCUCAAGUUCUCAACAUGUAGAAAAGUAAAACAUAGAAGCUUUUGUUCGUUUACAUCAUAAAUUUUGGAACAUGUUCACCACACCUCUUCAGCAAUUCCCGACCAGCUGUUCCAAUGCAGUUUCUACAUUAUUAUUAGGAGCUUUGUAAUAAUCGCUACAAAGGGGAAGAUUGAAACCGUGUAUUACUGAUGGAUAUAUAUGUUUUAGGAAGAAGCUGUGUAUUGAAAAGGAGUGGUUUCGUGUGUUUUUUA